ACAAUCACCUCCGAGCUAGCUACCAUGCAGUCGCAGGGUAACAUGAGGAAAGCUUGCUUUCCUUGAUGACGACUGGCGCACGGGUGAGUAACGCGUAUCCAACCUUCCCAUAACUACGGGAUAACCCGUUGAAAGACGGCCUAAUACCGUAUGAUAUCGUUUGCUGACAUCAAAUAACGAUUAAAGGUUUAGCGGUUAUGGAUGGGGAUGCGUCUGAUUAGCUUGUUGGCGGGGUAACGGCCCACCAAGGCUACGAUCAGUAGGGGUUCUGAGAGGAAGGUCCCCCACAUUGGAACUGAGACACGGUCCAAACUCCUACGGGAGGCAGCAGUGAGGAAUAUUGGUCAAUGGGCGAGAGCCUGAACCAGCCAAGUAGCGUGCAGGAAGACGGCCCUAUGGGUUGUAAACUGCUUUUAUGUGGGGAUAAAGUGCGCGACGUGUCGUGCAUUGCAGGUACCACAUGAAUAAGGACCGGCUAAUUCCGUGCCAGCACC
rnacentral:rRNA from 1 species